GACGAACGCUGGCGGCGUGCCUAAUACAUGCAAGUCGAGCGAACUUUUAAAAGCUUGCUUUUAAAAGUUAGCGGCGGACGGGUGAGUAACACGUGGGCAACCUGCCUGUAAGACUGGGAUAACUUCGGGAAACCGGAGCUAAUACCGGAUAAUGCUUCUCCUCUCAUGAGGAGAAACUGAAAGAUGGUUUACGCUAUCACUUACAGAUGGGCCCGCGGCGCAUUAGCUAGUUGGUGAGGUAACGGCUCACCAAGGCGACGAUGCGUAGCCGACCUGAGAGGGUGAUCGGCCACACUGGGACUGAGACACGGCCCAGACUCCUACGGGAGGCAG
rnacentral:rRNA from 1 species